AAAAGCAUAUACAAGGAAAUCAUCUUUUCCUUGAGCUUCUCUCCCCCUUUCUUAAAUCCUAAAAGAAAUUGUCUUCUUUCCUCUCAAAUUGUGUGUGGUUUCAGUCGAUUUGAGCCAAAAGGUUUCUAUUCAUCGUGUCCCAAUGCAACAAAUCGAGUUAUCGGAAGCCUUCGCGUUCAUAUUUAGACAAGUGCAUAUGUGGUUUGGAAUCUCUAUUUAUGACAUAUUGGACAGAUUCGAACUCAGGUCGUUGUGCUCUAUGGUUGUGGGAUGUUUAAGUUGUAGGGUUAUAAGAGGUGUAACCAUCUUUUCUAGUAUGAUAAAGAAAUGUCUUCAAGAGCCAAGGAUGUAAUAUGUUCUCUACGGCAGAAUUUAACAGAAGAAAAAAUAAAAUGCAAUGAAGUCAAGAAAAAAGAAGAGGAAAUGAAGAUCAAAAUAAAGUUCAUGAAGAAGAUGUUGAAAUUUAGUGUGUUCAUCACUUUGUAUUACUAAUAGGAUUAGUCAUGUGUAAUAUAAUGAAGUAGGUCAUAGUCCUUGAAAUGCAGGUUGUGCAAUACAGGUUGUAAAAGUUGUGAUAUAUGAGUGAAAAUGUGUUUCAGUAUGUACUAUGAAGUUAUUAUGAAAUUGUAAUAACAUUUUGCAUUGUAAUGGCAUUUUAGUUUUU